CCAGAGUGCCCUAGGCUCUCAACCCAUUGCGAACAUACCUAUCGUUCCCUCGGCGGGCUCAGCGCGCGGUGCCCCCGGGCUCCGGGCGUCCGCCGGGGACAACCAAACUCUGAUUUUAUUGUGAAUCUCUGAGGGGCGAAGCCCGAAAACAAAAUGAAUCA
rnacentral:misc_RNA from 1 species